rnacentral:rRNA from 1 species
ACAUGAAGCUGGAAUCGCUAGUAAUCGCGGAUCAGCAUGCCGCGGUGAAUACGUUCCCGGGCCUUGUACACACCGCCCGUCACACCACGAGAGUUUGUAACACCCGAAGUCGGUGGGGUAACCUUUUGGAGCCAGCCGCCUAAGGUGGGACAGAUGAUUGGGGUGAAGUCGUAACAAGGUAGCCGUAUCGGAAGGUGCGGCUGGAUCACCUCCUUU